rnacentral:rRNA from 1 species
GAUGAACGCUGGCGGCGUGCUUAACACAUGCAAGUCGAACGGUGAAGGCGGAGCUUGCUCUGCUGGAUCAGUGGCGAACGGGUGAGUAACACGUGAGCAAUCUGCCCCUGACUCUGGGAUAGCGCUGGAAACGGCGUCUAAUACUGGAUACGAGCUGCGAAGGCAUCUUCAGCAGCUGGAAAGAACUUCGGUCAGGGAUGAGCUCGCGGCCUAUCAGCUUGUUGGUGAGGUAACGGCUCACCAAGGCGUCGACGGGUAGCCGGCCUGAGAGGGUGACCGGCCACACUGGGACUGAGACACGGCCCAGACUCCUACGGGAGGCAGCAGUGGGGAAUAUUGCACAAUGGGCGAAAGCCUGAUGCAGCAACGCCGCGUGAGGGACGACGGCCUUCGGGUUGUAAACCUCUUUUAGCAGGGAAGAAGCGAAAGUGACGGUACCUGCAGAAAAAGCGCCGGCUAACUACGUG